CCCUGGCACUGGUUGAAAGAGGAAGCGGUGUUGGACUUUGAAAGCUGGAAGGAAAGUUGGUUUGGAUGACCCGAAGAACGUUUGGUUAGUGAACGUUGGACUUGGUCAAUGAAUCCUUCAUUCCUAGUUCUGGACUCUCAAAUCUAACAGUCAAAUCCCAAUCCAAGCAGCUAACUAGCCAUAGCCAUAGAUUUUCUGCUACUUCACCUGCUCUGACCUAACAGCAUCUUCCGAAACAAAUAUACAUAAUAGGAUCUCACCAUUAUUUCAACUUUCCCUUCUUCACCUGGUGACUGGUUGAUCCAUGGAUUUUAAAAGGACAAUCCAAGUUGAAGAGAGUAAUGAAGAUACUCGCAAAUGUGCGUGCCUCAAUUUCAAGCUUGACAUGCAUGUUGUUCAACUUGUGCCUUUCAGAGCAUGCAGUUCUGCACGUCGCAGGUUUCCCGACCGGGCAUGGAUAGAAGUGUAUGCGUGGCUGACAUUUCAUAUUGUCUUAUCUUUGGACACUAAGUCUCGUUUUAUCCAGCAUAGAGAUUUGGUUUGAAGGAAGAGCUGUACCCACUGAUCUGACCUCUUCAUUUGGUAAUAUAAAGGAAUCCAAACUUCAGAAACUACAGAGAUGUCAAAGUCCGCAUCCUAGUGUGUUUAUGUUUCCAUGGAGAAAGAAUAAUGCAUGUGUGUGCUAUCAAAUAUAUAUAUGAUGUUGAAGGUACAAGUGGCGAUUCCCAUAACACCCCAAGGUCAUCAUCGUAACCUUGCGGUGCAUGAGGAGCAGUGGUGAUUGAAACCAGAG